rnacentral:snRNA from 1 species
GUGCUCGCCUUGGCAAUACAUACACUAAAAUUGGAAUGAUACAGAGAUUAUACGACCCCUUGCAAGGAUGACACAUUCUAAAAAUUUAUUAAUAUUC